GCGACCGGCGGCUCUUUGGCGCGGAUUAGGGGGUCUCGGCGAGGGAGUCAUCAAGCUUUGGUGUAUGUGUUGGCCGGUUCUGAAGUCUUGAAGAAGCUCUGCUGAGGAAGACCAAAGCAGCACUCGUUGCCAAUUAGGGAAUGGACCGUUUGGGUUCCUUUAGCAAUGAUCCCUCUGAUAAGCCACCUUGCCGAGGCUGCUCCUCCUACCUCAUGGAGCCUUAUAUCAAGUGUGCUGAAUGUGGGCCACCUCCUUUUUUCCUCUGCUUGCAGACUUCAGAUUUUCCUGUCCUUGAUCCCAGCUGGACUGCUCAAGAAGAAAUGGCCCUUUUAGAAGCUGUGAUGGACUGUGGCUUUGGAAAUUGGUAAGAGCUUGGUGUUAAGAGUUGUCCUGCCCUAGUGGACUCAGAGAAGAAGCUGUUGUUGAAGAGUAAAGGAAGGAACCUCAGGAAGAGAAAGUAUGUGUUGCUUUCCUAUCAACCCAUGAUUUA
rnacentral:lncRNA from 10 species